rnacentral:lncRNA from 1 species
ACCAGGAGCGAACCAUGAUGCCAGGUAGGAGGGGCUGGCUAGGCCCUGCGAGCGCGUCCCUUUCCUGCUGGGCAGAGGCCCUCCACAUGGGGCCACGCGGGCCGGGCACAGGAGGGCAGUCAGAUGGGCAGGGCCUGAGAGCCUCCCUCCUCUCCCUAGGUCCCUAAUCAUGGACUCCCCAAGAGCUGGCACCCACCAGGGCCCCCUAGAUGCAGAGACAGAGGUCGGUGCUGACCGCUGCACGUCGACUGCCUACCAGGAGCAGAGGCCCCAGGUGGAGCAAGUUGGCAAACAGGCUCCUCUCUCCCCAGGGCUGCUGGCAAUGGGGGGGCCUGGCCCCGGCCCCUGUGAGGACCCCGCGGGUGCUGGGGUAAGAGGCUCUAGACCCUUCACCUGUCAGUCACCUGAGGGAGGCUGAGGCCAAGCCCCAUCCCUCAGAAUCAAGGCUUGCAAGCCCCCCUCACCUGCCCAGUCUCUGUCCACACCCCUCGGGCUGAAGACGGCCCUGACCAGGCCCUGGGCCUCAGCGACCACCCCUCCCCCUCCUGCCUGGAUCCAGGGAGCAGGUGCAGGGGGCUCCGAGCCCCUGGUGACUGUCACCGUGCAGUGCGCCUUCACGGUGGCCCUGAGGGCACGAAGAGGAGCCGACCUGUCCAGCCUGCGGGCACUGCUGGGCCAAGCCCUCCCUCACCAGGCCCAGCUUGGGCAACUCAGGUGGGCCAGAAAGCCCCUGGUGGCUGCGGUGGAGCUGGGCACCGCCCCGACUGAGGCAGCUGCUGGAAGAGGGGGUGGCAGAGGUCACUGCCCUCCCUGCAGGCCCCACCCAGGAGGCCCCCUCUGAGGAAUCUCUUUGCAGUUACCUAGCCCCAGGUGAGGAUGGGCACUGGGUCCCCAUCCCCGAGGAGGAGUUGCUGCAGAGGGCCUGGCAGGACGCAGCUGCCUGCCCCAGGGGGCUGCAGCUGCAGUGCAGGGGAGCCGGGGGUCGGCCGGUCCUCUACCAGGUGGUGGCCCAGCACAGCUACUCCGCCCAGGGGCCAGAGGACCUGGGCUUCCGACAGGGGGACACGGUGGACGUCCUGUGUGAAGUGGACCAGGCAUGGCUGGAGGGCCACUGUGACGGCCGCAUCGGCAUCUUCCCCAAGUGCUUCGUGGUCCCUGCCGGCCCUCGGAUGUCAGGAGCCCCCGGCCGCCUGCCCCGAUCCCAGCAGGGAGAUCAGCCCUAACGAUGCUGUGUCCAUGAUGCUUUUAAUAAAAAC